rnacentral:rRNA from 1 species
AUACGAGGGGUGCAAGCGUUGUUCGGAAUUACUGGGCGUAAAGGGAGCGUAGGCGGAGAUUCAAGCGGAUUGUACAAUCCCGGGGCCCAACCCCGGCUCUGCAGUCCGAACUGGAUCUCUUGGAUAGUUCAGGGGCAGGCGGAAUUCCUGGUGUAGCGGUGGAAUGCGUAGAGAUCAGGAAGAACACCGAUGGCGAAGGCAGCCUGCUGGGGACUUAUCGACGCUGAGGCUCGAAAGUGCGGGUAGCAAACAGGAUUAGAUACCCUGGUAGUCCACGCCGUAAACGAUGAGCACUAGGUGUCGGGCACGAGAGUGUUCGGUGCCGGAGCAAACGCAUUAAGUGCUCCGCCUGGGGAGUACGCACGCAAGUGUAAAACUCAAAUGAAUUGACGGGG